rnacentral:misc_RNA from 1 species
GAUGAAGAACGUAGUGAAAUGCGAUAAGUAAUGUGAAUUGCAGAAUUCAGUGAAUCAUCGAAUCUUUGAACGCACAUUGCGCCCGCCAGUAUUCUGGCGGGCAUGCCUGUUCGAGCGUCAUUUCAACCAUCAAGCCCCCGGCUUGUGUUGGGGACCUGCGGCUGCCCGCACGCCCUGAAAACCAGUGGCGGGCUCGCUGUCACUCCGAGCGUAGUAGCAUAUAUCUCGCUCAGGGCGUGCUGCGGGUUCCGGCCGUUAAAAGCCUUUUUUUACCCAAGGUUGACCUCGGAUCAGGUAGGAAGACCCGCUGAACUUAAGCAUAUCAAUAAGCGGAGGA